AUUGAACGCUGGCGGCAUGCCUUACACAUGCAAGUCGAACGGUAACGGGCCUUCGGGUGCCGACGAGUGGCGAACGGGUGAGUAAUGCAUCGGAACGUACCUUUCAGUGGGGGACAACGUAGCGAAAGUUACGCUAAUACCGCAUAUUCUGUGAGCAGGAAAGCAGGGGAUCGCAAGACCUUGCGCUGAUUGAGCGGCCGAUGACAGAUUAGCGAGUUGGUGAGGUAAAGGCUCACCAAGGCGACGAUCUGUAGCGGGUCUGAGAGGAUGAUCCGCCACACUGGAACUGAGACACGGUCCAGACUCCUACGGGAGGCAGCAGUGGGGAAUUUUGGACAAUGGGGGCAACCCUGAUCCAGCCAUGCCGCGUGAGUGAAGAAGGCCUUCGGGUUGUAAAGCUCUUUCGGCCGGGAAGAAAUCGUAUGGGCUAAUACCCUGUGCGGAUGACGGUACCGGCAUAAGAAGCACCGGCUAACUACGUGCCAGCCGCCGCGGUAAGAC
rnacentral:rRNA from 1 species